rnacentral:rRNA from 1 species
AUUGAACGCUGGCGGCAGGCCUAACACAUGCAAGUCGAACGAGUGGCGGACUGGUGAGUAAGGUCUGGGAAACUGACUGAUGGAGGGGGAUAACUACUGGAAACGGUAGCUAAUACCGCAUACAAUCAGAUGUGCCCAGAUGGGAUUAGCUAGUCGGUGGGGUAAAGGCUAACCAAGGCGACGAUCCCUAGCUGGUCUGAGAGUAUGAACGGCCACACGUGAACUGAGACACGGUCCAGACUCCUACGUGAGGCAGCAGUGGGGAAUAUUGGACAAUGGACGCAAGCCUGAUGCAGCCAUGCCGCGUGUAUGAAGAAGGCCUUCGGGUUGUAAAGUACUUUCAGCGGGGAAGCGUUACCCGCAGAAGAAGCACCGGCUAACUCCGUGCCAGCAGCCGCGGUAAUUC